CCUACGGGUGGCAGCAGUGAGGAAUAUUGGUCAAUGGACGAGAGUCUGAACCAGCCAAGUAGCGUGAAGGAUGACUGCCCUAUGGGUUGUAAACUUCUUUUAUAUGGGAAUAAAAUGUUCCAUGUGUGGUACUUUGUAUGUACCAUAUGAAUAAGGCUCGGCUAACUCCGUGCCAGCAGCCGCGGUAAUACGGAGGAUCCGAGCGUUAUCCGGAUUUAUUGGGUUUAAAGGGAGCGUAGGUGGAUUGUUAAGUCAGUUGUGAAAGUUUGCGGCUCAACCGUAAAAUUGCAGUUGAUACUGGCAGUCGUGAGUACAGUAGAGGUGGGCGGAAUUCGUGGUGUAGCGGUGAAAUGCUUAGAUAUCACGAAGAACUCCGACUGCGAAGGCAGCUCACUGGACUGCAACUGACACUGAGGCUCGAAAGUGUGGGUAUCAAACAGGAUUAGAUACCCCAGUAGUC
rnacentral:rRNA from 1 species